UACAUAUAGUGUUUUUAAAAUAUAGGGAGAAUACAGGUCUUUGAAAGUAUGGCCCUUUAAUACAUUAACCCAAAUUAUUCCAAAAAAAAUUAAAAUGUGAAAAGGUUUCGGUGAUAAGCAAUGCAAAUCAAUCAAUAUAUUCUGGGAUAAAUGCUAAAUAUAUAUGGGCAAUAAUAAUAAUUAUAAUGCUCUAAAAUCUGAAACUGCAGCUUUAAAUUUACCACAUUUGAAAAAAACACACAGACAUACACAAAUGAUUUCAAGGCAGACAAAUAUAAAAGUGGGUCACUCACAAGUGACACAGAUUGGAACUAGUCUACUGAGCACAGUAAUAAGUGGGUAUGAUUUUAUGAUCACUGAGAUCACAUAAGAAUUGGUGACCACAACCAGUGAAACCAACUCCUCACUUAAGAAACAUUUCAGCAGAUCUAUUAACAAACACACUUGAUAGGCUCAGAGAAAAUACAUACUUCAUGCAUAUUAACUUUUAGUACUUAGUAAGU